UCGAACUGUGGUUUCUUCAACUCAAAACCUUCUUAAAGUGUCCUAAUGCACUAUACUCAUUAGGUGGAGACUCUCCAAUUCCAAAACCCAAUUCUCGAAAGGGAAUAGAGUUGUCCUCCCAAAAUGUUGUGAACCCGAUUUCAACUCCUUUGAAAGAGGGGGCGUCGACAGCAUGACGACUCUGCUGGGGAUUUUCUUUUAGGCUUUUACCAUUGCAUGUUAUUUGUGAUUUUAUUGCUUCUUUAUUGCUUUUACUUAAAUGUAUUUAUCUCUUCUUCUAUGAAACUGACUUGUUUCUUGUUUCUUUUCUUAAAUGCUUUCUUUGCUUUUCUUUACUACUUUUGUAGUUACGAGAAAUUAUUAUAAUUAUUAUCUUAUGAGCGUGGAAAUACAUGAAAAAUCUGUUUCAUUCUUGUAAUUGCAUCUUCACUCGUGCCAAACAAAAUACCAUAGCAAUGCUUAUAAUGAGUGGUUGCGCCCUUCCAAUAUUAUCACCCCCUAAAUUUGGCAAAG
rnacentral:lncRNA from 1 species